rnacentral:rRNA from 1 species
AAUCAGUUAUGGUUCCUUAGAUCGUUCAUACUACAUGGAUAACUGUGGUAAUUCUAGAGCUAAUACAUGCAAAAAGCUCCGACCGUAUGGGAAGAGCGCUUUUAUUAGACCAAAACCAAUGGGGUCGCAAGACUCCUUUGUAUGGUGACUCUGGAUAACUUUGUGCUGAUCGCAUGGCCUAGAGCCGGCGACGUAUCUUUCAAGUGUCUGCCCUAUCAACUUUCGAUGGUAAGCGAUUUGCCUACCAUGGUUGUAACGGGUAACGGGGAAUCAGGGUUCGAUUCCGGAGAGGGAGCAUGAGAAAUGGCUACCACAUCUACGGAAGGCAGCAGGCGCGCAAAUUACCCACUCCUAGAACGGGGAGGUAGUGACGAAAAAUAACAAUACCGGACUCAAUGAGGCUCGGUAAUUGAAAUGAGUACAGUUUAAAACCCUUAACGAGGAUCUAUUGGAGGGCAAGUCUGGUGCCAGCAGCCGCGGUAAUUCCAGCUCCAAUAGCGUAUAUUAAAGUUGUUGCAGUUAAAAAGCUCGUAGUUGGAUCUCGGGUACUAGCAUGUGGUACGCUUAAUUGCUGUUACUACAUGUCUGGUCCUAAUCAACCGGUUGGCCGUUGAUGUCCUUUAUUGGGUGUUUUCGGUAGCCGGUACGUUUACUUUGAGAAAAUUAGAGUGCUUAAAGCAGGCCUUACGCCUGAAUAAUGUUGCAUGGAAUAAUAGAAUAGGACCUCGGUUCUAUUUUGUUGGUUUUGUAGAGCAUUGAGGUAAUGAUUAAUAGGGACAGACGGG